CAAAAUGUGUGAUAAGUUACAUUUCAUGGCUUGAUGAGUUUAUUUGAUCUAUAGUACAGGGAUACACUUCAAAUAAGCGCAUUCGAGUAAUGUAUAUGACAAAACAUACUUCGUCAUGCAUUUCUUAAGCUGCUUCACUUGGUGGAUUUUAAAAAUUGCUAUAUGGUUAAAACAAUUCUCUAAACGAACUUAAAGCAGUUCUUACAAACCUUGAGAUGAUGAUUUUUCAUUUAAAGAAAGCUUUAGACUGAGGUUUAACAGUUUAACAGUGGGUACUUGCAGUUAUUUCUAUAAUGCUUUCAAUACAGGAUUUCAAGUGGGUGUAACUUGCAACUCCUAUGUUGCUUAAAAUUGCAAUUCUUGCUGCUUUUCCGAAUGCUUGUGAUUUAGUGCUUAACAUGCUGCUUGUAGAGAUUGUGUUUAUGAUUAUUGCCUCAUGAUAUGUGUGACUCCCUGGCCUGGUAAUACCAAUCUACUGGUUUCAGGUUUUAAGACUGUCCAUAUUUGUUUUUAGGUGUGAUGGAGAGAUUUUCAGUGCUGUCGAGAACAUUGUGCAUAAAGGCCUUCAUGGAAGGACAAUCACAAGUAGAAGAACGCUUGGUACACACGAGUGGAUUUUCCUAAAAGCUUUAUUCCUAGAGUGGAAUGAACAGUUUCUAGAAUGGGAAUGUCCUGAAGAAAAAUGUCCUCGCAGGAGAAAAUACAACAGAGGAAAAUGUUUCUUACUCAGAAAAUGGAGAAACAAAUGUUUGUGGCUUAUUCAGGGAUGAAUUUCAAACAGUCAGAGCUGUCUGACAAAUGUGGAUGAUGUAACCAGAAGGAAGUAUAACACCUGAAGAGAUAUUGUAGCUUGGAGUGGAAUGCCAUGAUUUUUAAAGCCUGCAAUUUUGUUCAGUAGAUACUGUUUUCAGAAACAGCAUGUAGACCAAAAUUACUGUCUUGCAUAUUUGAAAUACGGUCUUUCCAAAAUACUGAACUGUCCUCUCUAGAAGUGUAGCAGUAAUAUUAGGGAAAUAAGUGUUGGGUGUCAGUACAUUAAAAAGCCUGUGAUUAUUUGCCUUUUGAAAAUACUAGAUUUCUACACAGUCUCGCAGAUACUGAAGAUCUGUGAUWACUUAAGACUGGAGUUCACAGGCAGGUCCAGUAAAGAUAGGGUGAAAGCAAAGAAAAAGACAGUGUGUAUAGCUUGCAUCGCUGGAUCUGUGAUGGAGUGAGGAGUUGGAGUUUCUUGGGCUGCCCCUUUGGCAGAAGGCCAGUACCACAACAGUGGAAUUGCCCUUUGCUAAAUACACUGGCUUGCUCUGUGGGGAAAAGAGGUUGGUAGUGGGAAAAGUUAYGUGCAUUGCAACUUGGGCUUUGAACAGUCACUUGAAAAGUGUGGGUACUGUAUCACAGUAGCAGCAUAUUUGCUGUAUUCAGUGAACUGUCACUUCCACAGACAAAUAAAUAAUAGGACGAUAAAUUGGUCACCAAGUAAAUUUAAAGAUGACUCAAGGUGUACAURAGAUGAAAUUGGCCUUGAAGUAUGACUGUCAACCCUAAUUAUCAUGAAUUCUCUAUAAAWGCAGGAACAUGAGAAUAGCAUAACUAAAAAUUUAAAGACCUUUUUCUGUCAAAGCAGCAUCAAGAAGUACAAAAUAGGAUUUAUUUCUGUUAACAAAUGUUACUGAGAAUGGUAUGUAUUUCCAUGUGCCAUGUUYUGUAUGUACUUUUGAAUAAAGAUGAGAACGUUGAAAUCA